rnacentral:miRNA from 1 species
AGUAGAGAUAGGGUUUCACCAUGUUGGUCAGGCUGGUCUCAAACUCCUGACCUCAGGUGAUCCACCCAC